rnacentral:sRNA from 1 species
UCUUGUUAUGGCGAGGCUCCUGAGCAAAAACAAGUUACCGCCCUGAUGGUGUCGAGAGAGACCACACAGGGAAAUACAGGCAUCCAUCGAAUCAAGGUGUUGCCAAGGUAACUUCCGGCGUGUUUAUCGCGGAUACGUUGCUCAGUGCUAAAACCGGGACGUAGGG